rnacentral:lncRNA from 1 species
AGUCUAUAAAAGGAAAUCGGUCGCGUUAAGUGAAACAAAAAAGGAAAUCAGGAACCAAGAAGUGUAGCUGUCGGCCCUGUUGGGCUGCAUAUGUUAACAGCCCAAAUUCAAAUUCACAACAGGGCCGCAUAUGUUAACAGCCCAAAUUCGAAUUCACCAAGCCCAGCAAUUGAGGUAGCAGUUAGGUUACAAGUUCCAGAAGCUUCUCGAUAGCAUAAACCCUAGAUCCCCAAAUCUCUCUUAAUUCCACCGAAGAACACACGCGCAUGUCGGCCGCCUUAUCAAUUCAGACAGCUCUCUGCUCGUUGCCCUCUCUAUAGAUAUCUGGGAGUUUGAGCUCAGUUCUCGUGUCCUCAAUCGUGUUUUCGUUUUCUUUUUCACUCCAGUUGGUUCUCAUGUAAUUAUUUGCAUAACCGAUUUAUUCAUGGGAGCUUGGUCAUUUCCGCGAGCUGUGGCUUUCAGAUUUGAUGGCCAUGGCGAUUCCUUCGUCCAAUCGCUCCCAGAUUGAUUUGGGGCUCUAAUAGCCGCGGCCCGAGUAAACGAUGGGCUUGCGGUUACGCACCCUCGCACAUCCAUUUUUUUGUUUUCAGUGUUAUUUGGGAUUUGGU